GCCUAACCUAAAUUAUUCAUUUAUAAGCUUUCUUUCAUAAAAUUUCCUGUUAUUUAAUUACUUAAUCUAUGUUUUUCUCUUUUCACUAGCCUUCUGGACGGUUGCCAGACAACUAGUUGGACACAGUUGAGGACACACGGACACACACAAAUUGGACUGUUUUCGUAUGGUAGGUGUCUUACACAGCUCCUGGCCAGACAUCACAAAAGGAAUCACAGUCGGCACAGGCUUCCAUACAAUUUCGGCUUCAACGUGCACUACAAGGUAGAUGUCUCACCCAUUAACACCGUUCCCAGUCCGAUGAGCUGAUGGUAGCUGGGGAAAGUCUCACCACUUGCUGAUUUUCCGCAAUAAAAUAUCGCACUGGCCCCCUUUAUAGCUAGGAUGGCCAGUGCUAUUCUCCAAAUCACAGGAAUCACUUUCUAUACAGCAAAAGAAAUGACAAAAUCUCAAAUCUACUACACAUUUUUAGAAACUACAGUUCACUCACAUUCAAAUCUUAUCACACAAUACACAAAAAAAAAAUAAAAUUAAUUUGAUUUAA